rnacentral:lncRNA from 1 species
AGAAACCCAACCAGGACAAAGAAAACAUAGACCUGUCCUUAAAGCACUGCUUUUUAUCAUUUUCUGUGGAAUCACUAACCAAAGGUUUAGUAACAGUAGGAAAAUUGAUAAACAGAGUAGUCAGGAGUAUUUUUUUGUAAGUUUAUUAUCAAGACAGAGAGAGAAAUAGAGCGAGUCAGGAAAGGGCAGAGGGGGAGAGAGAAUCCCAAGCAGGUUCCACACUGUCAGCACAGAGCCUGAUGCAGGCCUUGGUCCCACGAACCCUGAGAUCGUGACCUGAACCAAGAAUCGAGGCUGAACUGACUGAGCCACCCAGCUGCCCCAGGUCGGGAAGUUUUUUGUUUUUUGUUUUUGUUUUUGUUUUUUCUUUUUACAGUAGUUUGGUGAAGAGUUAAUGUUGCUUCACUGAGUAUAUUGUUUUAUUUAAACUAACUUUUUUAUUUAAAAUUUUUUUUGUGAGCAUCAAGAGAGGUUUAAACUGAAAAAAUCCCCAGGAAGCAAAUAUUUACAUUUAGGUGGUCUUUGAACGUCUGCUGUCCUUUCUGAAGGUCAGAGGAACUGACACGCUUCCUAUCUAUUGGGUUGUAUAGUUUUAUAGGGCAGGAGCAUUCAGGAGCCGCCAGGCAGGCCAGCUCUUUUAGGACCUCAUUCCUCCUGUAACUCAGCACAGCACCAGAGUUGUCUACACUUUUCCAAGACAGCAGAAAAUGAACAAAUCCCAGGUAAGUUGUUCAUUCCCCACUUUAUUUUGCGAUGGACUUGGUGAAUCCCAUUGUAAUGGGAAAUUAGCAAUAGAUAGAAAUCUACCUUUACAGAAAAUAGAGAGUAACAGAUCAAUAGCAAGACUAAGGUGGCUUGUAGAUACAUACUGAUCAUUCUAUAUUUUAGAGCUUCUAAACUGACCUACAAAUAACAUCUCUGUUGUUUCUGAUAACCAUGGAGAAAGGAGGACACAGUCUUUUGGAUACAGACAGAAUUUUUUCAAGACACAAAGACUUCUUGGAUGAUAUCUUUCUUGGUUUUAACAUAGGGACACAUAGUGAAUAUCCUUCCUGUGACAGCCCCGAAAUGAAUGCCUAAAACUGUUCCUCACUGAGAGUAAAAGGGUCUGAGAGAGAGUUCAAGUAGUUAAUUUAAUGAUGGUCAUGUUCGAUCCUGGUGUAAAACCCGAUAUGUUCAGAGGAAUGAAUGGUCUACAUGCCUGUUAACAAAAACUCUCCAUAACUACUUUAGCCAGGUUGUGUAUGCGAGUUUUAUAGCAGAUGGUUCAAAGUUAAAUUCUCUGGUAAAUGUGUCUGAGCUUCUCAAAUUCAUCCUAUAGAUUUCUGUCUUGGUUUUUCCCUUCCACUUUUUUGGGGUUUGUCCAGGUAAAAUUGCCAAUGAUUUAAUUGUAAUUGCCUUCCUUCAAGAACUGCUCCAUUACUCUUCUGACAGUCUCUCCUGGGGAGUCUUCUUUGUCUCUUCUGUAGCCUUCCUCAUUGUACCCCAUCAUUCAGUUCCAAGUUUGUAUCCUUUGUCUACUAGUCAUAACGUUUAUCUCUACAUGUAUGCUGGAAAAAUAAUACUGUUUACUAUUUUGAGCACUUCUAAAAAUAUGUAAAUUAUCUUAAUGUUUAUAUGACAGGCAUUUUCUCCCCUUAGUACACUAGUAAUUUGAGAUCUAUCCAUAGGAAGUUUAUUUAUUUACUUUUUUAAGUAAAUAGUUUUUUAAAAAUUUUAUUAGAGUUUGUGAGUGGGGGAGAGGGGCAGAAGGAGAGAGAGAAAGGAGACAGAGGGAGAGAGAGAGAGAAUGAGAAUAUCUUUUUUUUUUUUUUUAAGUUUUUUAACGCUUAUUCAUUUUUGAGACACAGAGAGAGACAGAGAGCAUGAGCAGGAAAGGGGCAGAGAGAGAGGGAGACACAGAAUCCGAAGCAGGCUCCAGGCACUGAGCUGUCAGCACAGAGCCCGACGCGGGGCUUGAACUCACAAACCGUGAGAUCAUGACCUGAGCCGAAGUGGUACGCUCAACCAACUGAGCCACCCAGGUGCCCCAAGAAUGAGAAUAUCUUGAGAGAGAGAAUAUCUUAAUCAGGUUCCACACUUAGGGUGGAUCUUGACCCAGAGCUGACUCUCACAAUCAUAAGAUCAUGACCUGAGCUGAAAUCAAGAGUCCGAUGCUUCACCACCUAGGCACCCCUGUAGUUUGUUUCUUUUAAUGUUGGAUUUUCCUGCUAUCUGGACACAGUAUAUCCUAAAUACUGUAUUUCAUUGGUAGAUAUUCAGGUAAUUCCAUUUUUCAUUGAUAUAAAUACUGCUGUGAAUAUCCUUGUCAUUCUCUAUGGUAAAUGCAGAUGUAUCUCCAGACCCUGGAGCAUUGCUUCUCAGAGUGAGGACCUUUGCCCAGAAAUGGCAGCGUCACCUCGAAACUUGUUUGACAUGCAGAUUGUGAUCCACCAUCCCAAACCUACUGGAAGAGAACUUUUGGAGGCCAGGCCCAGUAAUCUGUGUUUUUAACAAGAUGUCCGUGUGAUGGUGUUAAG